rnacentral:rRNA from 1 species
GACGAACGCUGGCGGCGUGCUUAACACAUGCAAGUCGAACGGAAAGGCCCUGCUUUUGUGGGGUGCUCGAGUGGCGAACGGGUGAGUAACAUGUGAGUAACCUGCCCUUGACUUUGGGAUAACUUCAGGAAACUGGGGCUAAUACCGGAUAGGAGCUCCUGCUGCAUGGUGGGGGUUGGAAAGUUUCGGCGGUUGGGGAUGGACUCGCGGCUUAUCAGCUUGUUGGUGGGGUAGUGGCUUACCAAGGCUUUGACGGGUAGCCGGCCUGAGAGGGUGACCGGCCACAUUGGGACUGAGAUACGGCCCAGACUCCUACGGGAGGCAGCAGUGGGGAAUAUUGCACAAUGGGCGGAAGCCUGAUGCAGCAACGCCGCGUGCGGGAUGACGGCCUUCGGGUUGUAAACCGCUUUCGCCUGUGACGAAGCGUGAGUGACGGUAAUGGGUAAGGAAGCACCGGCUAACUACGUG